rnacentral:misc_RNA from 1 species
AACGCACCUUGCGCCCUUUGGUAUUCCGAAGGGCAUGUCUGUCUGAGCGUCGUUUAACUCUCAAACUCACUCUUCAGUCUUAGCACUUUAGAGUGGCCUUGUGACUGCACCACCCUUUAAGGGGGGAGGGUCGGUCUCUGGCCAGGUUUGGUUCAUGAGUGCAGUUGGCCUAGUCAGCUCACUUGAAAUACAUAGGCAUCCCGGUUCCUUUACUAAUUUCCACUGGACCUGGCUUGAUAGUAAUUUUGAAUAGCUACGGACCAAUGGGACUGAAAGAGGCAAUCAAGUGCUUUACAAACAUCUUUUGCUGAUUUACCCUUUGACCUCAGAUCAGGCAGGAAUACCCGCUGAACUUAA